rnacentral:lncRNA from 1 species
ACAACAACAACAACUACCCAGUAAUGUCCCACAAAGUGGGGUCUGGGGAGGGUAAUAUGUAGACGAGCCUUACCCCUACCCAAAAGAGUAGAGAGGGUGUUUCCAAUCGACCCUCGGCUCAGUGAAGGAGAGGAAAAACAAAAACAAAAACAAAAGAGCAUUAGUAAGUCCAGCAGGAAUAGCAUAAAUAAUUAUCUAAACAUAAGAACCAUAAAUAAAAUAGCAUGCAAUAAUAUC